UUAAUUUCAGAAAUAUUUUUUAUAAGGUUGCCAAAAUUUAUUCUUGAAAACUAAGCUAGAAAAAUUGUUCAUUCAGUAUUUGAUUUAAGAAGAACCUAUCCGUCGUACCUCGUGAGUGUUGUGUUUAUCUCUUACUAACUGCUGGCGCUUUCGCCGCUGUGUUUUAUUCGAGCUCUUAAUUAAAUAAGCCGCCCACUCGGCGUGUGACCUCAGCUGCGCUGCUCGGUUGUCCCAGAAAACUUGCAACAUCUACGGUCAUUCACACAUUAAACAUGUCAAUGGCUGUGAUGAGGGAGGAAAAAGUGGACUAAGUUAGAAAAUUCGAACUGCGAAUCCGCUGCGUUAAUCGGUGACAUCGCUUCGGCCAUGCAAGCCAUACCUUCCCAUCAAUCCACUCAAACAUUCAUCGCAUGUGAUUGCUGAGCUGGUAUCAAUGUGCGGAGAGCGAAAACGGCAACGCUGAGUUUGUCAUUUACGAAAGUGCAAAAAGUCCGAAGCACACAAGUUAAUAUGAGGGAGGAGAUGAGAGGUAUGCUAGAUAUCAACGAAACUUGCUUACGACCCAACAAACCUCAACCCGAUCCGUGCUGACCAUGUGUGUUGGUAUGUAGACUAGCAAAACAGACCAGAACAGGCCAGGAGACCAGCAAGCAUGCAAUCAUAAAACAUUAAUUUCAAUUGAAAAUGACUUAACCUCAAACAUGCGUGAAAGCAUGCGAAUCUAUGUGAGGUUGUGGUGUAGAAUGUGUUUAUGUAAUUUGGCCACGACAUGCAUGCAACACACCAUGUUAUACACGCAAACACACACAAGAGAUUACUAAUCUCCAGUGCAAGCCACGUUCUUCCCACAUCCAUUACGAGUCUCCUUCCUCUUCGACUGGCCACCCCAAAGUGCCAAGGGAAAGCACUAAACUGUCUUUGCAGCAGAUGAAAAUUAAUUUGUUCCAGCUCCACAGAAACAAAAGACAACAACAAACACAGGCAUGGAAACGAGAAACCAGGAACAUCAACGUUCGCCACACACCGCCGAAAGAAAGUCAAUAAAUUUUAGUUCGGCUUCGUGUAGAAUUACGACUUACUAAAAUGGCGAACAAACAACAGCUGGCGACUAACUGACGCCGCGUCUAAACACAAACCAUAUGGACAAAUAAAAAUGUUCGAAUUGUUUCCCCGGCGCAGGGUCGAAAUUACUCGGAUAUUCUGAGGAGGUUGGAAUUAGUUAAUUGGUGAAAGCGGAGUUGGGGUAAGUAAACGACACUCCAAUCAUUUGUCCCCCCUUUGCAUAAUGUGUGAAUUUAGUGUGUGGAAAAGUUUUCACAAGAAUGUGACGAGAUAAUGUGAGUUUCCUUGAAAUACUCCAGCCCAUGACUUAAGCCUCGAAAUUGGAUCAACCAUCAGGCAUUAAAGUGUUGGAAACUAUUCGCGACUGAAUUCAAUAUAAAAGUCUAUAUUACAGAAAACCGUUAGGAAUGCCAUUUAUAGAGUUCUUUGAAGACUAGAAAUCCAAAUAAAGCUACAAAUAAUUCUAGCUUAUUUCAAUAUAAAAGUGAUGUUUCGUCUUCGGGUUUAAGGCAAUCAGUCUUAUGGAGCAAUCCAUUAGCUAGUGAUCAGAUGAUCAUUCAGGAAGAGAUCUCACGAUCAGCUGUUUGCAGUAAAAUCAAAUUUAGUUGAAUUUCUUGUUGAGUUCUCAGAUAUUCUUUGUAGGAAAAAUAAGAAGCAUUGAAAUUUGAUUAAAAUUCUUCACUUUUUCUGCCACAUUUCUGAGAAUUUUUGGAUCACUCAUUGAAGUGAACUCCGUCACUCAUCGCUUCCUCAUUGGAAUGUCAAGGAACAAGAUGAGCAUGAAGCAUAAAUACUGCGGUGUUGUCAAUUGGGCGGCAUGCAACAAGCAACGACAACAUAUGUUGCACAUUGGUAACGCCCAUUUUACGCGCCUUCAACCAAAUUCUUCGAAGCGUCGUAUACGGAGUGUUCCCACACUCAGUGCGCUACUGGAAAUUGGAAAUAUAACGGUUUAGUUCUCACAAUUCCCCGCAGUUAUUAAAACGCUUGUGUUGCUUGCCAGGAAAAUUCGAAAACAAAUUAAAGCAGAAAAUAUGGAAAAAACUUAAUAGAAAAACUGUUAAAUUUUCAAUUAAUUAAAAGUUGAAAUGACCAACAAGUGUACAACUGCCACAAAUAUGUUGGAGCGUCGAAAAUGCGGAGGAGAACUGGAGAACGCAGACAAAGCUGCUGGCACACACUUGUCUAUUAAGCUUGUACAACUUGUUGUGGCUGGCAGCUGUCGUUUUGUGCUGCUAUUGUGGUUGUAGUUGCCGAAGCCAAAAACUGCCGAAAAGCGCAGAAAACCGCGGUGGCCGUGCGAACUUUUAUAGGCAAUGCACUGCACCACCAAAGACAGUAGAUUUGGGUGUCUAUGUGUGCUGCAUCGAAAUUGCAAGUGCCAUUGUUGCACAAGUGGCACCACACACGGCAUAUUGAUCGCACUUCACCUCGCCUCAGCUGCA